rnacentral:rRNA from 1 species
GGCGAACCGUCCGAACGUUAUUCGGAAUCACUGGGCUUAAAGGGCGCGUAGGCGGGCUGCCAAGUCCGGGGUGAAAUCCUCCAGCUCAACUGGAGAACGGCCUCGGAUACUGGAAGUCUCGAGGGAGGUAGGGGCACGCGGAACUGUUGGGUGAGCGGUGAAAUGCGUUGAUAUCCAUAGGAACUCCGGUGGCGAAGGCGGCGUGCUGGAUCUCUUCUGACGCUGAGGCGCGAAAGCCAGGGGAUCAAACGGG